AUCGCUUCUCGGCCUUUUGGCUAAGAUCAAGUGUAAAAAGUAAAACAAAGUUUUUAGAAGAAAACAUAAGAGAAUACCUUCAUAACUUUGAGGUUAUGGGCAAAAAAAUUUUUUUUUGGGUCUUUUUGCUAUUUCUUGGGCCACUCCUG
rnacentral:snRNA from 1 species